AAAUUUAAAUGUGGGAGCUGCAGACAGCCUCCUGACGCUCACAAACCAAAGAUUUUAUCUCUAUCAGUACAGCCAAUAUGACCAGCAGAGGUGGUCAAAGGCUUGUUUGACCUGUUUUCAAGAUGACUGCAGCACAUAUUGUGAAGGGGGACAUGAGUUCCAGCAGCAUUAUGGAGUAUCUGGAAACGCAUUGGACUCCAUGAUGGUCUUUUGGCCUGUACUGUUGUCAGAAACAACUUCUCUCUAGUAAAUAGAAUUUCUUAAAGAUCACACUUCUUCCUGAACAGAGACUUGAAUUAAUAGUCUGAUGCUGUACUGACUGAGCUACCCAGACUUCGACGGGUGUGUUUCAUGGACACAAAAUUCGCCUGGUGGACAAAUUCUACAGACGAAAAUUGGUGACAGAAUAUUCAUGAAUGGGAUGUAUUUAGACAUCCCUCUAGGAGAUUUAGACUGGAGAAACCAUCACUCAACAGAGGAGGUGGACUAAGACACCAACUAUUAGCCACCUAAAAUUCUGUCCUGACUCUCUUCAAAAAAAGAAUCAACAAGCAGCAAACGCAUUACUAAGUUCAUUUAGUAAGAUGUCCAAAAUGAGUAGUGUGUAAACUUCUCUCCACUGUAAGAUUAGAACUAAUAACCUCAGAGAUACAUCUUCUGGUGGACUGAGAUACUUGUCUUCAUUCUCUUACUCUGAAUUUCUUGGUUUCUCAUCUUGGUCAGAGUUUUUCAAAAAUUCAAUCGUUGAAUUACGAUGACAAACUGUUUGAUCCUUCAUCAGUUAACUUAUUUCAUGUGAUCCUCUGUCCCUGUUGGGAGCAUCACCAGCGCUGAAGACAGGGACGUCGCAUCACUAAAAACAUGGUUCAAGUCCCACUGAAGGUCCAAGUCACCCAUUUUAUUCGCUUGCCUGCUUGCCUGCUUGCCUGCCUGCCGUUCCUGCCUGCUUCAUGCUCAUACUCGCAACAUUGCCUACCUGUUUGCGUACAUGCAUGACUGUCGCCUGUCUCAGCCGUGAGUUCUUUGUCCCAUGAAAAAACCUCCUAGUUGGACAUGGGUCUGCCAUUACACAUGGGGACACCAAACAAAGAGAGACUGACUCACUUGCGACCUUCACCAAUCCAUGUAAGAUUACCGGAUUCUCCAGCACAUUAAUUCACCGUGUCACAAAUAAAUAUUGACUUAAACUACA